UCUUGUGAAAUACACGAUGUGCAGUAUUCCUGUAUGAUGUAGUUAUCCAAUCCUUCUUGUUGUGUCAAAUAUAAAUUUUAAUUUUUAGUUAUUAAAUUCUACGUGAAAAGAUCAUAUUAAUACAUAUAUUAUAUAUUGAAAGCUAGCUUUUGAAUUAAAACCAUGUGAAUUGAAUCUUCGGAUAUAUAAUAGUAACGUCAAUAAAUUUUGGUUUAGGUUUUCAAAUACACAUUUGCAUUGAAACUUGAAGCAGUUUUAUUUUAAGGACGCUACUGGUUUUCACACCCACAUUUGCGUUGAGACUACUGCGAGAGAGAAGUAGGUUUAUUUUUAAGAAGGCUUCUGUUUUAAUUGCUACUUUAAAAGAUCAUAUUCACAUUAUAAUUACAUGUUGCGAUCUGAUAUUUGGAUUAAAGGUUUUCACAUACACUUUGCAUUGAAACUUAAAGUAGUUUUAUUUUAAGAAAGUUACUGGUAAGUCUACAUUUAUCAAGGAUCUUAUUUCAAAUAAUUCUGCUAUUAGAAUGAGUAUUAUGUAUUUAGAUUUAAAAAAUUAUUUGCAUUAUUGAACGUACGGCAUGUUCCGGGACCGAUUAAAUUUUUUAAAUAUAAUGUUUCUUUGGAUUAUUUCAAUUAAAAUUUUAACUUUCAAGUAUUAAAUUCUACUUCAAAAGACCAUAUUUACAUGUAAUUAUGUGUUGACAGUUGAUUUUUGUAUUAAUACCAUGCAAAUUAAAUUUUCGGAUGGAAUAAUAUCGACAGUAAAUUUUGGUUUAGAUUUUCACAUACACAUUUACAUUGAAACUUGAAGUAGUUUUAUUUUAAGAAGAUUUCUGAUAAGUCUACAGUUAUCGAGAAGUUUUUUAUAAUUCUGCUAUUAGAGCAACAUAAUAAGUUCUAAAUUAUUCAGACAUUUGCAUUUUUGAACAUACACAGCAUGUUCCGGGAUUAGUAAAGCUUUUUUUAAAUAUUGUCUCUUUUUAUUCUUUUAUAAGUCUUAAUUCGAAAUUAUAAUAAUACUACUUCGAAAGAUCAUAUUUACAUUUUGAUUAACUACUGAAAGCUGAUUUUUUUAAUUUAAUACGGUAUAAAUUGAAUGUUUAUAUAUAAGAAUAAUAUCACUAGUUUUGAUAAUUUGUAAAUUUGCACACAUUAUUUGCAUUUACACUUGAAGUAAUAUUAUUUUGAGAAGGCUUCUGGUGAGUUCUUCUAAAUUUGUCGACGUUCUUUUAUAUAAUCUUACUAUUAGAAUGACUUGUGUUUUAAGUUCUGGAAAAUUAUUUGCAUUAUUGAAAAUACGGCAUUUUCCAGGACCGUUAAAAUUGUUUGAAAAUAUUGUAUCUUAAAUUUGUAUUAUUUCUAUAAAUCUUAAUUCAAAUUCUGAAGUAAUAAAUUAUUCCGCGAAAAAUAUUUUCAUUAUAAUUAGUUAAGUACUGAUUUAUUUUUGUUAAUUUUUAUUUAAACUUGAGCUUGGUGAAUAUAACCAUAAUGUAAAUAAUUUUGAUUUGCG